AGUUGGGCACUUUAAUGAGACUGCCGGUGACAAACCGGAGGAAGGUGGGGAUGACGUCAAGUCCUCAUGGCCCUUAUGGGUAGGGCUUCACACGUCAUACAAUGGUCGGUUCAGAGGGUUGCCAACCCGCGAGGGGGAGCCAAUCUCAGAAAGCCGAUCGUAGUCCGGAUCGCAGUCUGCAACUCGACUGCGUGAAGUCGGAAUCGCUAGUAAUCGCGGAUCAGCAUGUCGCGGUGAAUACGUUCCCGGGUCUUGUACACACCGCCCGUCACACCAUGGGAGCGGGUUCUGCCAGAAGUAGUUAGCCUAACCGCAAGGAGGGCGAUUACCACGGCAGGGUUCGUGACUGGGGUGAAGUCGUAACAAGGUAGCCGUAGGGGAACCUGC
rnacentral:rRNA from 1 species